GCAGGUGUGCUUGCUGGCUGUUCUCCACCUGAUUACUGCACCUGAGGCUGGCGCAUUCUUCCUGCCCUUCUGGUGUUUCAAGCUUGCGAGGAAGUGGCGCCUGGGGCUGUCGCUGCCCUGGCUAGGCGAGGAGGAUGGCCGGCACGAACACGUGCACUACCACAACCACAACCACAACCACAGGCACAGGCUGCCAUCACCGCCACGCCGACCGUUCUUCAGAUAACCAACGCACUGCGUCAACAGCUGAGCAUCAUUUACCCGCCCAACUACGAGGUGGAUCGCAGCGCAGCGGCCGGCCGUCUUGUAGUGUGACGGGGAUCGAACCCGGGGCCCCACUCCUCCGUGUCCGCCACAGAAGGAAGAGACUUCGCCAGCUGCGGCCCACUAGCGCUGCUGCCCUGGGGUUCCCCUGAGCUGCGAGCCACGACGCCACACAGCGACCUGCAGCCUGGUUCCGCUCUCCCGAUACGAACCCCGUACCUCGUGUCUGCAGAACAAAUCACACAACUGCGGCUGAGAGAAAUCUCUCCGCCGCGGCUGCAUUUACUGUGACCCCCACGCACCGAACAUAUCGGUACCAAAAGGGAAUUCUCAUAGAAAAUGAUGCUAUAAAAGAUAACUACUGGGAUAUGACUUAUAAGUAAGAGUUGCUCACUGGAAUGCACAUCUGCUCUCUCCAAUCCGUAUUGAUUGUGCCUGCUGGUGACGACUCUCGCAUGUGGAGUCAGAUACCGCCAGAACAUACUCUCUGGUGGAGCCUGUCCUCAAAUCCACAACCACUGUGUCUUCUGAACUUCGCAUCAUCUCGUAUGAGAAGAAGUUUAAUUCUGUUACAUGUGAUUGUCCCCUUCAACUCACUACUAUGAUCGAUCACAAGUUAACUCACAGUAAACUGUUACCUGGUCAUGAUAGGCGCUACGAAAAUUAAGCUUUGAAGCUAGGAGCACUGGUACUUUACUCUUUCGGAAAAGGCAUUCGUAUAUCAUUUCUCUGCUUCACUACACUGCAGACUUCAUUGCCUCUCUGAUAAGAAUGUACGUCGGUCCAUUAUACCACUACUUAUCGCAAGCAAUGAGCUCAUCGAAACUUAUUCCCACUCUAACAAUACCACCACUUGCAAAGUAGGUUAGAAAUCAGAUUAAUAAUGUUGCUCACGCAGCAUAUGUUCGCUUUAUCGGGCAAACAACUAAGUUAUUGACUGUGGACAGUAUCGUCAGAAUGCAAAUAAUGAAGUCACUGUAAGAAAGUCAUUAAUUUUGGCACUUAUCUUGAAUGGAUUCCCCCGUAGAUUUCGUCGAAGUUGUUAUGGCUCAUCUUGUUGAUUCUAGGGUGAUUCCACUUUGACUGCUAGAAGGUCCAGAUUUGUAUUUUAGCAAUAUUUGAAGACCUAACAAAUGUGUUUUUCGGGAAAUUCUUGAUGACCAAACAGUCCCAGAUCAGAACAAUGGUAUGGUAGAAAUAAUUUUUGACUUGGUGCUCACGAUCCACAUUUUUAUUAAACUUCUUGUAAAUUCACAUAUACUUCUUCUUAAUUGUCACAUCAUCAAGAAAACAGUUUUGUAUCAAUCUUCAUACAUUUAAUUUCCACUUUAAACAAACACAAGGCUUGACUGCUCUUUUACAAAGCGAAAUAACAACUUCUACAAAGUGAAACAAAUACUGCUCUGUGCGCAUUCGCGCCAAAACGGUUACAAGUAAGUCAAAGAUUAUGACAGUCUCACAGAAAUGAAUACACACAAGAACCAUAUCACUGUAAUAUAUCGAUACAUCGGAGUACCUAUACAUUAAUAAUAUCAAAUGUGAAUAUUGUCACAAAAAAGUCGGUUACUUCGCAGAAAAGUAGUAUGAUAUUACUGAUAUCGAGAACGGGGGUUGGAGUGCCGUAAUGGUCACGUACAUAAACAACCAUUACACCACGCUGACGACCUUUCAAUCGUCCAAACAGAUGGUACUGUCCCAGCAUUGUAUGUAAGAUGUGGCACCAAUACCGGUCCCACUUGGCCAGACUUUCGAACUGGGACUUGAUAACUCGUGUUGCGGGUGGGAUUACACUGUUACGCGGUGACUCGUUCUCUUCAGACUGAUACUCCUAUUUUGUUCCCACGGUGUGCUGCAGUUUCGUGAAGUUGUUUUUUGGUACUGUUUGUUUCAUAUCAAAGGAAUACGGCGCAAAACGCUCUCCUGAGGUCACGAAAGAACGCCAGCAAUUUGUUACGUUAUGUGUGAAGUUACGGACUAUUCGGUGCCGAGAUACAGGUCUUCCUUUCGCUCUAGGGCUAGAGAGAAUCCUACAUUAAGUUCACAUAUCGUCUUACACUUCCUUUCUAAUUGAAAUCAGUUCCUUACGAAGAGAAAUGUACUUCAGUUUACCCCUACCUUUUCUAUGUCCCAGUUCUUCGAUUUUCAUUAAAGCGAAUAUUUUCGCCAUUCCUACAUGCAUCACGAACUAUAUCAUACUGAUACAUUCGUAAUACUGACUGUUUUCACC